GCACCUGCAAAUUCAGGUGCCGGGAUUAGCCUCCUGAUUGACUUCAUCGACGACACAAAGGCGCGUCUGCGCUUUUUUU
rnacentral:sRNA from 21 species